CAGGAGAAGGCGGAAGGUAAAGACCAGCUGGGAAAGUCUUCACAGGCUAAGAAGGAGACAAUAGAAUUGGAAAGACCCACCACAGCUAGCAAAUACGAACUGAAAAACCACAGACAGGUUACAGGGACUGAAUCUGCGAGGAUGGUCAUCAGUCAUCUCCAAUCCCACUGCCUACUACCAUGCUAGGCCCUGAGAGGAUGCUCAACUUGGAGGAAAUGGAGUUUGACAAAGAGUAUUUCCCAAGUGGUCUGGAAGGAAGCAAAAGAAUUAACAAAAUCGAGAGGAGAAAAUGUGAAACCGCAUCAGAAGAUUUAUUGUUGGCACAAGAAAAAAGUGGCUUAUAUAUUGUGUAAAUAAGAAUCCAUGGUAAAUAAAAUUCAAUUAUAAUGAAGCAAUUAUCAUGUCUUAUCAUAUUUGUUCAAACUGGACUCUGCCAAGAAGUAUCCCUUUAGGAUGUCCAUUCAUCUUGGUUUACAUCAAUAGAGAAAUUAUUAAUAGAAUUCCCUCU